rnacentral:rRNA from 1 species
GACGAACGCUGGCGGCGUGCCUAAUACAUGCAAGUAGAACGAGUGGAGAACGGGUGAGUAACGCGUAGGUAACGGCCGAAUAGCGGGGGAUAACUAUUGGAAACGAUAGUAAAUACGGAAUACAGUGAGAUGGACGUGCGUUUUAUUAGCUAGUUGGUGAGGUAAAGGGUCACCAAGGCGACGCUAACUAGCCGACCUGAGAGGGGGGUCGGCCGCCACUGGACUGGGACACGGCCCAGACACCCUACGGAGGGCGCAGGUGGGAAGCUUCGCCAAAGGACUGAAGUCUGAACGAGCAACGCCGCGUGAGUGAAAAAGGUUUUCGGAUCGUCAAGCUCUUUUGUUAGAGAAGCGGUAACUAACCAGAAAGGGACGGCUAACUACGUGCCAGCCGCCGCGGUAAUAC